ensembl:lncRNA
CUUCCUCUGCCGAGGAAACUCCGAAGCCUGUGUAUCAUCCAACGCUACUAACGACCAAAAACAUUCACGACACCAGAGCAAAGCAAACUAUCUAAUGUGCAUCUUGAGAGGAAUGUCAAACUCGCAAUAGCUUGCAGGAGACGAACUUAACUGCAAGUAACCCAGUGGAAGUCAGGCAAUAGCUUAAACGACAGUUUGCGCAAAAAUGACAGCGGCGGUAUCUGCAAACACAAAAUAGGAUUAACAAGCUGCCUCAUGAAAAGUGCGGGGCCCUGGAGGGGAGGACUGGAGGUCCGAAUCUGAUAAUAAGAUAAUAUAAGACAUAAUAAGAUGCGGCUGAUCUGACCUGUAAUACUUGGAUGACUGACCUGGCAGGAUUUUUCGUGAUCCUCUCACACCGAUCGGCUGCGAGCCCUCUCCUUUUCUCUCCAUAUCCUCCUCGACAUCUGACACAAACUUUAAAAGGAUCUCUCCGAUUGGCUUCGGACACUUAUAAAUGGUUUGAAUAACUUGGAAUUUUGCGCAGACCCUGCUACAUACACCAUUCAUGGAAGAAACUUCGGACUUAUCACUGCUCGUCUUCAAAUAGUAUUUCAGUUAUCAGUACCCACACCCGUUCUUCUAGGAAAACACAACAAGAAAAUUGUGUAGUCAACUCUGGAAAUCUGAGACCAUCCUUGGGAUCUGUAAUACUGCAUUUUCAGAUAUGCGGUGUGCGCAAUUGAAC